rnacentral:rRNA from 1 species
GAUGAACGCUGGCGGCAUGCCUAAUACAUGCAAGUCGUGCGAGAAGCUAUCUUCGGAUAGCGGACAGCGGCGGACGGGUGAGUAACACGUAGAAAUAUACCCCAAGGUGAGGGAUAAGCAUCGGAAACGGUGUCUAAUACCGCAUAUUAUCUAAGGAUAAAAGAUUUAUCGCCAUGGGAAUAGUCUGCGUCUGAUUAGCUAGUUGGUAGGUAAAGGCCUACCAAGGCGAUGAUCGGUAGCUGGUUUGAGAGGAUGAUCAGCCACACUGGGACUGAGACACGGCCCAGACUCCUACGGGAGGCAGCAGUAGGGAAUUUUCCACAAUGGACGAAAGUCUGAUGGAGCAAUGCCGCGUGCAGGGAUGAAAGGUCUUCGGAUUGUAAAACUGCUUUUAUAGUUGAAGAUUAAUGACGGUAAGCUAUGAAUAAGGACCGGCUAACUACGUG